GUGGGGAAUAUUGGACAAUGGGCGAAAGCCUGAUCCAGCCAUGCCGCGUGUGUGAAGAAGGUCUUCGGAUUGUAAAGCACUUUAAGUUGGGAGGAAGGGCAGUAAGUUAAUACCUUGCUGUUUUGACGUUACCGACAGAAUAAGCACCGGCUAACUUCGUGCCAGCAGCCGCGGUAAUACGAAGGGUGCAAGCGUUAAUCGGAAUUACUGGGCGUAAAGCGCGCGUAGGUGGUUUUGUAAGUUGGAGGUGAAAUGCCCGGGCUCAACCUGGGAACUGCCUCCAAAACUGCAUGACUAGAGUACGGUAGAGGGUAGUGGAAUUUCCUGUGUAGCGGUGAAAUGCGUAGAUAUAGGAAGGAACACCAGUGGCGAAGGCGACUACCUGGACUGAUACUGACACUGAGGUGCGAAAGCGUGGGGAGCAAACAGGAUUAGAAACCCUGGUAGUCC
rnacentral:rRNA from 1 species